rnacentral:rRNA from 1 species
UACGUAGGGUGCGAGCGUUAAUCGGAAUUACUGGGCGUAAAGCGUGCGCAGGCGGUGAUGUAAGACAGAUGUGAAAUCCCCGGGCUCAACCUGGGAACUGCAUUUGUGACUGCAUCGCUGGAGUGCGGCAGAGGGGGAUGGAAUUCCGCGUGUAGCAGUGAAAUGCGUAGAUAUGCGGAGGAACACCGAUGGCGAAGGCAAUCCCCGUGGCCUGCACUGGACGCUCAUGCACGAAAGCGUGGGGAGCAAACAGG